UUACAAUUAAAGGAUAUUUCUCGUGACUAAAAAAGCGGAAAUGUCUCUUAAUUGUUCGGU
rnacentral:pre_miRNA from 1 species